rnacentral:ribozyme from 1 species
GCAAAUAAGUGCGAACAAAAAAAGAGAGAGAGAGGAAAGAGAAGGGCAGAAUAAAUCAAUCACCCCUUUUUCUCCCUUUUUUUUUCUAUUUUUUUUUUUUUUUUUUGCUUUUGAUUGUAUAUUCCUCCUCUUU